AACUGAAACUAAUGUGAACUGAGGAGCUGAGGGGUUCAGUGAUUACGUAUCUAGGUGCAACUCAACAUGUAUAAAAAGAACUAGCAGCAGAUCAAGAUGAAGAAUAAAAAUACAGUUUAAUCAGACUGCUAUGUUUACUCAAUGAUUUGGUUCUGGCUCACAGUCUUACCUGCUGGCUUAAUCUGACGGCCAGUUCUGGAGACUGCAUGACCAAUGGAUUCAACAGAUCACCAGAUUCUCUUGACUAAACUGUGCGGGUCUUUGCAGCUCCUCCAGGGUGUCAUGGGCCACUUGGGUGCUUCUCUAAUUAAUGCCCCAAGUUGUGUGAUAUUUUCUCCAUUUUCAUAUAAUGAAGUGAACAGCCCCAUGUCCCUGUACGAGGAAGUGUGUCAGACAAUGAAUGAAUGGAUCGAACAGUGCUUGAUGAGAUGUUCAAGGUUUGAGAAAUGGUCUUGUAAGUUUUGUUUUCGUGAAGCAGUUCAUUUACUAAUGUCCUUCUGACAAAUCUCACAGGCCCUCACGAAAAGGAUGGCAAGGAUUAGGUAAAUAACUAAUUAGGUGAUUACUCAAUAUGACAGGUAGAACUGAAUUUUAUUUAUGCAUAUUAGAGCAUACACAACAGGUGUCACACUUUUAAGAUUUCCAUUUGUAAAACAAA